rnacentral:lncRNA from 1 species
UUGGUCGCGGCUUUGCCCGCGGCCUAUUUUUGGCACACGGAGGCCUCUCGCAAAGUCUCGCGGCAUUCAGAGUCCGGCGGACGAAGUGGGCCAGCCCCACCCCCCAAGGCUAUAGCCCACCCGUUUUUGUGGCGUUUUCCGCUGGACGAACUUGGCGCCCCGGCCUUCGGGCGGUUAUUUUUGGGCGCGGUUUUGCCCGCGACCUAUUUUUGGCACACGGAGGCCCCUCGCAAAUUCUCGCGGCAUUCAGAGUCCGGCGGACGAAGUAGGCCAGCCCCACCCUCCAACGCUAUAGCCCACCCGUUUUUGUGGCCUUUUUCCGCUGGACGAACUUGGCGCCUCGGCCUUCGGGUGGGUAUUUUUGGUCGCGGCUUUGCCCGCGGCCUAUUUUUGGCACACAGAGGCCUCUCGCAAAGUCUCGCGGCAUUCCGAGUCCGGCGGACGAAGUGGGCCAGCCCCACCCCCCAAGGCUAUAGCCCACCCGUUUUUGUGGCCUUUUUCCGCUGGACAAACUUGGCGCCCCGGCCUUCGGGGUGUUAUUUUUUGGCGCGGAUUUUGCCGCGCCUUAUUUUUGGCACACGGAGGCCCCUCGCAAAAUCUUGCGGCAUUCCGAGUCCGGCGGACGAAGUUGGCCAGCCCCACCCCCCAAGGCUAUAGCCCACCCGUUUUUGUGGCCUUUUUCCGCUGGACGAACUUGGCGGCCCAGCCUUCGGGCGGUUAUUUUUGGUCGCGGCUUUGCCCGCGGCCUAUUUUUGGCACACGGAGGCCUCUCGCAAAGUCUCGCGGCAUUCUGAGUCCGGCGGACGAAGUUGGCCAGCCCCACCCCCCAAGGCUAUAGCCCACCCGUUUUUGUGGCCUUUUUCCGCUGGACGAACUUGGCGCCCCGGCCUUCGGGCGGUUAUUUUUGGGCGCGGUGUUGCCCGCGACCUAUUUUUGGCACACGGAGGCCCCUCGCAAAGUCUCGCGGCAUUCAGAGUCCGGCGGACGAAGUAGGCCAGCCCCACCCUCCAACGCUAUAGCCCACCCGUUUUUGUGGCCUUUUUCCGCUGGACGAACUUGGCGCCUCGGCCUUCGGGUGGGUAUUUUUGGUCGCGGCUUUGCCCGCGACCUAUUUUUGGCACACAGAGGCCUCUCGCAAAGUCUCGCGGCAUUCCGAGUCCGGCGGACGAAGUGGGCCAGCCCCACCCCCCAAGGCUAUAGCCCACCCGUUUUUGUGGCCUUUUUCCGCUGGACAAACUUGGCGCCCCGGCCUUCGGGGUGUUAUUUUUUGGCGCGGAAUUUUGCCGCGCCUUAUUUUUGGCACACGGAGGCCCCUCGCAAAAUCUUGCGGCAUUCCGAGUCCGGCGGACGAAGUUGGCCAGCCCCACCCCCCAAGGCUAUAGCCCACCCGUUUUUGUGGCCUUUUUCCGCUGGACGAACUUGACGCCCCGGCCUUUGGGCGGUUAUUUUUAAGCGCGGCUUUGCCCGCGGCCAAUUUUUGGCACACGGAGGCCUCUCGCAAAGUCUCGCGGCAUUCUGAGUCCGGCGGACGAAGUUGGCCAGCCCCACCCCCCAAGGCUAUUGCCCACCCGUUUUUGUGGCCUUUUUCCGCUGGACGAACUUGGCGCCCCGGCCUUUGGGCGGUUAUUUUUAAGCGCGGCUUUGCCCGCGGCCUAUUUUUGGCACACGGAGGCCCCUCGCAAAGUCUCGCGGCAUUCCGAGUCCGGCGGACGAAGUAGGCCAGCCCCACCCUCCAAUGCUAUAGCCCACCCGUUUUGUGUGGCCUUUUUCCGCUGGACGAACUUGGCGCCCCGGCCUUCGGGUGGGUAUUUUUGGUCGCGGCUUUGCCCGCGGCCUAUUUUUGGCACACAGAGGCCUCUCGCAAAGUCUCGCGGCAUUCCGAGUCCGGCGGACGAAGUGGGCCAGCCCCACCCCCCAAGGCUAUAGCCCACCCGUUUUUGUGGCCUUUUUCCGCUGGACGAACUUGGCGCCCCGGCCUUCGGGCGGGUAUUUUUGGGCGCGGCUUUGCCCGCGGCCUAUUUUUGGCACACGGAGGCCCCUCGCAAAGUCUCGCGGCAUUCCGAGUCCGGCGGAAGAAGUGGGCCAGCCCCACCCCCCAAGGCCAUAGCCCACCCGUUUUUGUGGCCUUUUUCCGCUGGAGGAACUUGGCGCCCCGGCCUUCGGGCGGUUAUUUUUGGGUACGGAUUUGCCCGCGGCCUAUUUUUGGCACACGGAGGCCUCUCGCAAAGUCUCGCGGCAUUCUGAGUCCGGCGGACGAAGUUGGCCAGCCCCACCCCCCAAGGCUAUAGCCCAUCCGUUUUUGUGGCCUUUUUCCGCUGGACGAACUUGGCGCCCCGGCCUUUGGGCGGUUAUUUUUAAGCGCGGCUUUGCCCGCGGCCUAUUUUUGGCACACGGAGGCCCCUCGCAAAGUCUCGCGGCAUUCCGAGCCCGGCGGACGAAGUUGGCCAGCCCCACCCCCCAAGGCUAUAGCCCAUCCGUUUUUGUGGCCUUUUUCCGCUGGACGAACUUGGCGCCCCGGCCUUCGGGCAGUUAUUUUUGGGCGCGGCUUUGCCCGCGGCCUAUUUUUGGCCCAUGGAGGCCCCUCGCAAAGUCUCGUGGCAUUCCGAGUCCGGCGGACGAAGUAGGCCAGCCCCAACCCCCAAGGCUAUAGGCCACCCGUUUUUGUGGCCUUUUUCCGCUGGACGAACUUGGCGCCCCGGCCUUCGGACGGUUAUUUUUAAGCGCGGCUUUGCCCGCGGCCUAUUUUUGGCACAC